AACUCGGCGAACAGUCAAAACCCGGAAUGAGAAUUAUAAAGCUUAUUUUAUUUGUUUGAUUCAUCGAUGUGGGAAGCUCAACGCCAAUACCCACCUUAACAUUAGGCCCUAGGGCAUGAGUCGCUCGACCCAUUAGCUUAAAUGUUAAUAGCGGAGAUUUGGAUACUUUUGAAUCCUGCGAUUUAGCAUCUGUGAGCACAGAUAUGUAAAUGAGGUCGCUGAAAGAUGGGCUUCGGCUUCAUGGGUAUGCCGUGAAAGCUGGUUUUACACCUACCAUUUUCACUUGCAAUCAACUCAUCCACCUUUACGCCAACCAUGGUCUUCUGCGGGAAGCCCAUAAGCUGUUUGAUGAAAUGCCUGAGCGGAAUGUGUUCACUUGGAAUGCGAUUAUCUCAGCGCAUGUUAGAAACCAAGACUUGGGGCAAGCGCAGGUCUUGUUUGAAUCUGCACCUUGUAAAGAUAUAGUUACGUACAACUCGAUGUUGUCAGGUUAUGUAAGCACGGACGGGUACGAGUUUGACGCGGUUAAGCUGUUUGUCGAAAUGCAGACGAUGCGUGAUGGGGCUCGAUUUGAUGAGUUUACUCUUACGACCAUGCUUAACUUGACGGCAAAGCUGUCGGAGCUGUCUUACGGGAGGCAGCUGCACUCGUUUAUGGUGAAAACGGCCAAUGAUUCAAAUGGGUUUGCCAUGAGUUCUCUUGUUGACAUGUAUUCGAAGUGUGGGUGUUUCCGUGAAGCACAUCAAGUGUUUGACCAUGGUGGAGAUGGGGUGCUUGAUUUAGUUUCUAAGAAUGCAAUGAUUGCAGCUUGCUGUAGGGAAGGUGAAAUGGAAAUGGCUGAAAAUCUCUUUUGGAGAAAUCCAGAGCUGAACGAUACAGUGUCGUGGAACACGAUGAUUUCUGGCUUUGAACAGAAUGGUUGUAAUGAAGAGUCUCUAAAAUUGUUUGUUCAUAUGCUAGAGAAAGGAAUUGGAUGUAAUGAGCAUACUCUAGCUAGUGUUUUGAGUGCUUGCUCUGGUCUGAAGAGUUUGAAGCUUGGAAAGGAAGUCCAUGCUCGGGUUUUGAAGGAGGGGUUGAGCUUAAAUUCUUUCAUUAGCAGUGGCAUUGUUGAUGUCUACUGUAAGUGUGGCCAUAUGAAGUAUGCAGAAUCAGUUCAUGCUGCAACUGGGAUGCUAAACUCCUUCUCAGUCACUUCAAUGAUCGUGGGGCAUUCCUCCCAAGGUUAUAUGGUAGAAGCACGUAGACUUUUUGAUUCGUUAGAAGAGAAGAAUUCUGUUGUGUGGACUGCUUUAUUUUCUGGGUAUGUUAAAUUGAAGCAAUGUGAAGCUGUAUUUGAACUUCUGAGCGAGUUCAGAGCAAAGGAAGCCGUCGUUCCUGAUGCUUUGAUUGUUAUCAGUGCCAUCGGGGCCUGUGCAAUACAAGCUGCUCUGGAUUCAGGAAAGCAGAUUCACUCUUACAUACUGCGAAUGGGAAUUGAAAUGGAUGACAAGCUGGUCAGUGCUAUGGUUGAUAUGUAUUCGAAAUGUGGGAAUAUAACAUAUGCAGAAAGAAUUUUCCGGCCAGUAACUGAGAGAGAUUCAGUCCUUUACAAUGUAAUGAUUGCUGGUCAUGCUCACCAUGGACAAGAAAAACAAGCUAUCCUGCUGUUUGAAGAAAUGUUGGAGAGAGGCAUUAAACCUGAUGCCGUCACCUUUCUUGCACUUCUGUCCGCUUGCCGUCACGGUGGUUUAGUAGAAGUUGGUGAGAAAUAUUUUUAUUCCAUGAUAGAAAAUUACGCCAUAUCUCCUGAAAUUGAUCAUUAUUCAUGCAUGAUUGAUUUAUAUGGGAAGGCUAAUCAACUUCAAAAAGCAGCUACAUUUAUGAAAAGGAUUCCUGUACAACAAGAUGCUGUAAUUUGGGGGGCUUUUUUAAAUGCUUGCAAGAUAAAUCGCAAUGUGGAGUUUGCAAGAGAAGCAGAGGAGAAACUGUUGCAAAUUGAAAGUGAUAAUGGUGCUCGAUAUGUGCAGUUAGCUAAUGUCUAUGCUGCUGAAGGUUAUUGGGAUGAGAUGGCAAGGGUGAGGAGGAAGAUGAGAGGGACAGAAGUCAAGAAAUUUGCUGGUUGCAGUUGGGUUUAUGUUGAGAACAGAGUUCAUGUCUUCAUCUCUGGUGGUACAUCUCAUCCACAAGCUGAGGCCAUAUACUCUCUUUUAUACUGCUUGUCUGAAGAACUAAAUUAAAUAGCCCUGGCAGAUAUUAAAGCCAGGUCAUUAUCAUUGUUAUAUUGUCGAAGUUAAGAUGAUGACACAAACGGUAUAGGUUGCUUUUGGGAAGCAGAUUUUGAAGUUUCCAAAAGCAUGAACAUUUAAGGAUUUUUGGCCAUGCAUUUUGGAUUUCCACCAAAAGUUACAUGAUAUAUUUAGUUAUACAAACAAAAUGAAUCGAAUGUACCAAUCUUAAUGUGAUAGCCUGGGGAUUGAUGUGGAAGCUAGGUCAUCUUAUCAUGUGACAACAGUCAAAAGCAGGUUCACAUGGGCAUGCCACUAAUGUAUUCUAUCGUUCUAAGAUACCCUUUGAAGUUUCAACAGGUUUGUAUUUUACUAAAACACUAAAAUGGUACUACCAAGAAUUAUAAAGAACCAACCACCUUAUUCA